UCCUCGCUGUGGUGGCGCAGCGGAGUGAGAGAGGCAGAGCGCCCAAAGUUUGAUGUAUUCAUUCGGCUUUCAGUUUAAUUCCGUCUCUUUAUUCACAUAUUCAAAUUUUCCUGCAUGUGCUUUGUAAGGAGGAAAACAUCUUGAUUUGUUCUGCCGACUUUAUAUCUUUAUUACUGCCUGGAAUGAAAGCAGGAUAUCCGGCAAUUUGGCUCACCCUCUCCAAAUCGUCAACGCUAUUUAAAAUGCAUUGUUUUCACAAAGAUGCCUGUACUCAGCUGCUGUCUUCUCUCUCCUCUUUCUCUCCCUCCGUCCCAACCUUGCUUUCUUUCCCCCUUUGCC